rnacentral:rRNA from 1 species
UACGGAGGGUGCAAGCGUUAAUCGGAAUUACUGGGCGUAAAGCGUGCGUAGGCGGUGAGUGAAGUCUGCUGUGAAAUCCCUGGGCUCAACCUGGGAAUGGCGGUGGACACUGGCUUGCUAGAGUACGGUAGAGGAAGGUGGAAUUCCCGGUGUAGCGGUGAAAUGCGUAGAGAUCGGGAGGAACAUCGGUGGCGAAGGCGACCUUCUGGACCAGUACUGACGCUGAGGCACGAAAGCGUGGGGAGCAAACAGGGAUUAGAUACCCUGGUAGUCCACGCCCUAAACGAUGCGAACUGGAGGUUGGGUGCAACUUGGCACGCAGUCUCGAAGCUAACGCGUUAAGUUCGCCGCCUGGGGAGUACGGUCGCAAGACUGAAACUC